UUAAGUUCAGCGGGUAUCCCUACCUGAUCCGAGGUCAACCUUUUGAUGAAUGGGGGAUUUCUCCAUGGCAAGCAGUGCACCCACGAUGCGAGCGAAUAGUGCUGGUAAGCCUUUACAACGCCACAAACGCGUGGGGACAUAACCGCCUCUGAAUUUCGGUGGUGAGGUGAUUCAACGUGAUGCACGCAUCCCCUCAUCCA
rnacentral:misc_RNA from 1 species